rnacentral:rRNA from 1 species
AACAUAAUUAAGGGCUCAUGGAGGAUACCUAGGCACUGCAAGGCGAUGAAGGACGUGACUGGCUGCGAUAAGCCUCGGGGAGCUGUCAAAGUAGCUUUGAUCCGGGGAUUUCCGAAUGGGGAAACCUACUAAGAGUAAUGUCUUAGUAUCCCGACUUUACGUCGGGAAGCGAUACCAGGAGAACUGAAACAUCUAAGUAACUUGAGGAAAAUAAAUCAAUUGAGAUUUCGGUAGUAGCGGCGAGCGAAACCGAAAGAGCCUAAACCUUCUCGAUUUAUCGGGGAGGGGUUGCGGGACCACGAUAUGAUAUCUUGAAACCUAAUUAAAUCUUGCUGGAAAGCGGAACCAUAGAAGGUGAUAGUCCUGUAAAUGAAAGGUUUAAAGAGUCUAGUGGUAUCCCAAGUACUUCGGGACACGUGAAAUCCCGAGGGAAUCAGGGUGGACCAUCAUCCAAGGCUAAAUACUAUGCAGUGACCGAUAGCGAACUAGUACCGUGAGGGAAAGGUUAAAAGAACCCAGGAAUGGGAGUGAAAUAGAACUUGAAACCAUGUGCCUACAAGCAGUUAGAGUCCCGGCUUUAUGUCGGGAUGAUAGCAUGCCUAUUGAAGAAUGAGCCGGCGACUUACAGUUGCAAGCAAGCUUUAGGGUUUUUAGCCCGAGGCGUAGCGAAAGCGAGUCUGAAAGGGCGAUUUAGUUUGCAGUUGUAGACCCGAAACCGAAGCGAUCUAUCCUUGAGCAGGGUGAACCACGAGUAAAAUCGUGGGGAGGCCCGAACGGGUUGAUGUUGAAAAAUCUUCCGAUGACUUGAGGAUAGUAGUGAAAAGCUAAUCGAGCUCGGAGAUAUCUGGUUCUCCCCGAAAUGGUUUUAGGGCCAGCCUUAAGUUUAUCUUUAUGGGGGUAGAGUACAGUUUGAACUAGGGCCUCGAAAGGGGUUCCAACUUCUUGCUAACUCCGAAUACUAUAAAGUCAUUGCUUAGGAGUGAGAGUGCGAGGGAUAAGCUUCGUGCUCAAAAGGGAAACAGCCCAGACCGUCAGCUAAGGUCCCGAAGUUUAAACUAAGUGGUUAAGGAAGUGAGAUUCCAAAAACAGCCAGGAGGUUGGCUUAGAAGCAGCCAUCCUUUAAAGAGUGCGUAACAGCUCACUGAUCGA